rnacentral:rRNA from 1 species
AACGAACGCUGGCGGCAGGUCUAACACAUGCAAGUCGAACGGACGUAGCAAUACGUUAGUGGCUCACGGGAGAGUAACGCGUGGGAACCUACCUUUUGGUUCGGGAUAACAUCGGGAAACUGGUGCUAAUACCGGAUAAGCCCUUCGGGGGAAAGAUUUAUUGCCGAAAGAUGGGCCCGCGUUGGAUUAGCUAGUUGGUGAGGUAAUGGCUCACCAAGGCAGCGAUCCAUAGCUGGUCUGAGAGGAUGAUCAGCCUCACUGGGACUGAGACACGGCCCAGACUCCUACGGGAGGCAGCAGUGGGGAAUAUUGGACAAUGGGGGAAACCCUGAUCCAGCCAUGCCGCGUGAAUGAUGAAGGCCUUCGGGUUGUAAAGUUCUUUUGGUGGGGACGAUGAUGACGGUACCCACAGAAUAAGCUCCGGCUAACUUCGUGCCAGCCGCCGCUGUAA